UACGUAGGGUGCAAGCGUUAAUCGGAAUUACUGGGCGUAAAGCGUGCGCAGGCGGGUUUGUAAGUCUGUCGUGAAAUCCCCGGGCUCAACCUGGGAAUUGCGAUGGAGACUGCAAGGCUAGAAUCUGGCAGAGGGGGGUAGAAUUCCACGUGUAGCAGUGAAAUGCGUAGAGAUGUGGAGGAACACCGAUGGCGAAGGCAGCCCCCUGGGUCAAGAUUGACGCUCAUGCACGAAAGCGUGGGGAGCGAACAGG
rnacentral:rRNA from 1 species